UCCCUCCAACACGGAAUCCUUUAGAUAGUACCUGCCAUCAAUCCUUCUCAGUAUUUUUGCUCGGCAAAUGAAAGAAGAAAAUAUAUCAAGAAUUAAUGGUCUCAACUCUAUGCUUCGCCUUCUAAAUUACCAUGCAUCCACGAAGACCUUAUCCUGAUGCACCAAUGCCAUAUCAGCCAGUGACACACCGUCUUCGUUCUUUGUCAGGUACUUGCAGAUGGGAGCCGCGCCGUACCUCCUCAAAGGGUGGCCAUCCGUCCCUGUGUGGACGGUGCUGCAGCUGACCACUCUGUUAGCCGCGAGCAAGCGGAGUAUUCGGUCUACCGUGGUGGCCGCCU
rnacentral:lncRNA from 1 species